UGGUCUUGUAUUUCUUUGCUACAAAAGUAUAUUAUUCUUCUGUGUUGUACAUAACACUCUAAACGAUCACAAUGGUGCCGGUGCACAAAGGAUUACAGCGCAACUGGAAUUGAUCUCUUCAAUUUCUUUCCGAUCUUCCUUGCAGUACAGAGAGCUGCUUCCAAUCACAGAGCAACAUUUGCAAAUGUUGUUGUAGCUUCCAUCACUACCCUUCCUGCACUCAAUUGGAAGCUGCUUGACACUUGAUCUACAGCUCACCAAAGAAAACAUCACAAGAAGAACAAGAAGAAACAAAAGAGCUUUCCUGAAAUUGGCCAUACCUAGUCAGAUUCUGUACAAGCGCGAGCUGCUCCUCUUAAGUACACUGCAACAAAUCAAGUGGAAGAGGCAAAG
rnacentral:lncRNA from 1 species